rnacentral:rRNA from 1 species
UCUUCCCUCUUUCUUCGUGCCUAAUACAUGCAAGUCGAGCGAACAGAUGAGGAGCUUGCUCCUCUGACGUUAGCGGCGGACGGGUGAGUAACACGUGGAUAACCUACCUAUAAGACUGGGAUAACUUCGGGAAACCGGAGCUAAUACCGGAUAAUAUAUUGAACCGCAUGGUUCAAUAGUGAAAGACGGUUUUGCUGUCACUUAUAGAUGGAUCCGCGCCGCAUUAGCUAGUUGGUAAGGUAACGGCUUACCAAGGCAACGAUGCGUAGCCGACCUGAGAGGGUGAUCGGCCACACUGGAACUGAGACACGGUCCAGACUCCUACGGGAGGCAGCAGUAGGGAAUCUUCCGCAAUGGGCGAAAGCCUGACGGAGCAACGCCGCGUGAGUGAUGAAGGUCUUCGGAUCGUAAAACUCUGUUAUUAGGGAAGAACAAAUGUGUAAGUAACUAUGCACGUCUUGACGGUACCUAAUCAGAAAGCCACGGCUAACUACGUG